GAGCGCGUAGGCGGGGUAGUAAGUCAGAUGUGAAAUCCUAUGGCUUAACCAUAGAACUGCAUUUGAAACUACUACUCUAGAGUAUGGGAGAGGUAGGUGGAAUUCUUGGUGUAGGGGUAAAAUCCGUAGAGAUCAAGAGGAAUACUCAUUGCGAAGGCGACCUGCUGGAACAUUACUGACGCUGAUGCGCGAAAGCGUGGGGAGCAAACAGGAUUAGAUACCCUGGUAGUCCACGCCCUAAACGAUGAAUGCUAGUUGUUGUGGAGCUUGUCUCUGCAGUAAUGCAGCUAACGCAUUAAGCAUUCCGCCUGGGGAGUACGGUCGCAAGAUUAAAACUCAAAGGAAUAGACGGGGACCCGCACAAGCGGUGGAGCAUGUGGUUUAAUUCGAAGAUACGCGAAGAACCUUACCUAGGCUUGACAUUGAUAGAAUCUGCUAGAGAUAGCGGAGUGCUGGCUUGCCAGAGCUUGAAAACAGGUGCUGCACGGCUGUCGUCAGCUCGUGUCGUGAGAUGUUGGGUUAAGUCCCGCAACGAGCGCAACCCUCGUCCUUAGUUGCUAACAGUUCGGCUGAGCACUCUAGGGAGACUGCCUUCGUAAGGAGGAGGAAGGUGAGGACGACGUCAAGUCAUCAUGGCCCUUACGCCUAGGGCUACACACGUGCUACAAUGGGAUGCACAAAGAGACGCAAUACCGCGAGGUGGAGCAAAUCUCAAAAACAUCUCUCAGUUCGGAUUGUAGUCUGCAACUCGACUACAUGAAGCUGGAAUCGCUAGUAAUCGUGAAUCAGCCAUGUCACGGUGAAUACGUUCCCGGGUCUU
rnacentral:rRNA from 1 species